UACAGAGGGGGCUAGCGUUGUUCGGAAUUACUGGGCGUAAAGCGUACGUAGGCGGCUUUGUAAGUUAGAGGUGAAAGCCCGGGGCUCAACUCCGGAAUUGCCUUUAAGACUGCAUCGCUUGAAUCAUGGAGAGGUGAGUGGAAUUCCGAGUGUAGAGGUGAAAUUCGUAGAUAUUCGGAAGAACACCAGUGGCGAAGGCGACUCACUGGACAUGUAUUGACGCUGAGGUACGAAAGCGUGGGGAGCAAACAGG
rnacentral:rRNA from 1 species